UACGGAGGGUGCAAGCAUUGAUCGGAAUUACUGGGCGUAAAGGGUGCGUAGGCGGCUCGAUAAGUCAGAUGUGAAAUUCCACGGCUCAACCGUGGAGCUGCAUUUGAAACUGUCGGACUCGAGCGUAGUUAGGGAAAACGGAAUUCCACGUGUAGCGGUGAAAUGCGUAGAUAUGUGGAAGAACACCAGUGGUGAAGACGGUUUUCUGGGCUAUAGCUGACGCUGAGGCACGAAAGCUAGGGGAGCAAACAGG
rnacentral:rRNA from 1 species